GAUGAAGAAGCAGUGAAAUGCGAUAACUAAUGUGAAUUGCAGAAUUCAGUGAAUCAUCGAGUCUUUGAACGCACAUUGCGCCCCCUGGUAUUCCGGGGGGCAUGCCUGUCCGAGCGUCAUUGCUGCCCUCAAGCCCGGCUUGUGUGUUGGGUCGCCGUCCCCCUCUCCGGGGGGACGGGCCCGAAAGGCAGCGGCGGCACCGCGUCCGAUCCUCGAGCGUAUGGGGCUUUGUCACAUGCUCUGUAGGAUUGGCCGGCGCCUGCCGACGUUUUCCAACCAUUCUUUCCAGGUUGACCUCGGAUCAGGUAGGGAUACCCGCUGAACUUAAGCAUAUCAAUAAGCGGAGGA
rnacentral:misc_RNA from 1 species